UAGCUUGCUAAGUUUGAUGGCGACCGGCGCACGGGUGAGUAACACGUAUCCAACCUGCCGAUGACUCGGGGAUAGCCUUUCGAAAGAAAGAUUAAUACCCGAUGGCAUAGUUCUUCCGCAUGGUAGAACUAUUAAAGAAUUUCGGUCAUCGAUGGGGAUGCGUUCCAUUAGGUUGUUGGCGGGGUAACGGCCCACCAAGCCUUCGAUGGAUAGGGGUUCUGAGAGGAAGGUCCCCCACAUUGGAACUGAGACACGGUCCAAACUCCUACGGGAGGCAGCAGUGAGGAAUAUUGGUCAAUGGACGAGAGUCUGAACCAGCCAAGUAGCGUGAAGGAUGACUGCCCUAUGGGUUGUAAACUUCUUUUAUACGGGAAUAAAGUGAGGCACGUGUGCCUUUUUGUAUGUACCGUAUGAAUAAGGAUCGGCUAACUCCGUGCCAGCAGCCGCGGUAAUACGGAGGAUCCGAGCGUUAUCCGGAUUUAUUGGGUUUAAAGGGAGCGUAGGCGGACGCUUAAGUCAGUUGUGAAAGUUUGCGGCUCAACCGUAAAAUUGCAGUUGAUACUGGGUGUCUUGAGUACAGUAGAGGCAGGCGGAAUUCGUGGUGUAGCGGUGAAAUGCUUAGAUAUCACGAAGAACUCCGAUUGCGAAGGCAGCCUGCUGGACUGUAACUGACGCUGAU
rnacentral:rRNA from 1 species